rnacentral:misc_RNA from 1 species
AACGGUCUAUACCUGCGGUACCUGCGGAGGGAUCAUUAAAUAAUUUGGAUACGCUUGCGUAUUUCUUAUUUACUGUGAACUGUUUUACUGUUUGACGCUUGAGGAAUGCAUUCUAGCCAUAGGGAUAGGCUAGUCUGAUGUUAACCGAGUCAAAGUCAGGCUUAGGCCUGGUAUCCUAUUAAUUAUUUACCAAAAGAAUUCAGAAUUAUUAUUGUAACAUAAGCGUAAAAAACUUAUAAA